rnacentral:rRNA from 1 species
CUGGGGCGGUCUCCUCCUAAAGAGUAACGGAGGAGCACGAAGGUUGGCUAAUCCUGGUCGGACAUCAGGAGGUUAGUGCAAUGGCAUAAGCCAGCUUGACUGCGAGCGUGACGGCGCGAGCAGGUGCGAAAGCAGGUCAUAGUGAUCCGGUGGUUCUGAAUGGAAGGGCCAUCGCUCAACGGAUAAAAGGUACUCCGGGGAUAACAGGCUGAUACCGCCCAAGAGUUCAUAUCGACGGCGGUGUUUGGCACCUCGAUGUCGGCUCAUCACAUCCUGGGGCUGAAGUAGGUCCCAAGGGUAUGGCUGUUCGCCAUUUAAAGUGGUACGCGAGCUGGGUUUAGAACGUCGUGAGACAGUUCGGUCCCUAUCUGCCGUGGGCGCUGGAGAACUGAGGGGGGCUGCUCCUAGUACGAGAGGACCGGAGUGGACGCAUCACUGGUGUUCGGGUUGUCAUGCCAAUGGCACUGCCCGGUAGCUAAAUGCGGAAGAGAUAAGUGCUGAAAGCAUCUAAGCACGAAACUUGCCCCGAGAUGAGUUCUCCCUGAGACUUAGAGUCUCCUGAAGGAACGUUGAAGACGACGACGUUGAUAGGCCGGGUGUGUAAGCGCAGCGAUGCGUUGAGCUAACCGGUACUAAUGAACCGUGAGGCUUAACCUUACAACGCCGAAGCUGUU